AUGCGUCAACCACCAGGCUUUGUUGAUCCUACACGUCCGCAUCAUCUCUGUCGUCUGGUCAAGGCGUUGUAUGGACUUAAACAUGCGCCUCGUGCGUGGCAUGCGCGCCUUGGUUCUGUUCUCCGGACUCUUGGGUUUAUUCCCUCCACUGCUGACACAUCACUGUUCCUCCUUCAACGUCCUGAGGUGACGAUGUAUCUAUUGGUUUAUGUUGAUGAUAUCAUCCUUGUCAGUUCCUCUGAUGCUGCUGUUGAUCGCCUUGUGCCUGCAUUGAGUGAGGAGUUUGCUGUCAAGGAUUUGGGUACCCUGCAUUACUUCCUUGGUUUGGAGGUGUCACGGUCUUCUGCUGGGUUGACUAUGACUCAGAAGAAGUAUUCUUUGGAUUUGUUGCAUCGUGCUGGGAUGCUCAAAUGCAAACAUGCUAUCACUCCGAUGUCUGCGACUGAUCGGUUGUCUACUCUUGAUGGAGAUCUUCUUUCUACUGAUGAUGCCACUGAGUAUCGCAGUCUUGUUGGCGGUCUGCAAUAUCUCACUAUCACCAGGCCUGAUGUCUCUUAUGCAGUCAACCGUGUGUGCCAGUACCUUCAUGCACCUCGUGCCACUCAUUUCUCGGCAGUUAAGCGCAUUCUGCGAUUGGGCUGGAAGUCCUGA
rnacentral:rRNA from 1 species